GCGGGGGUGGCGGAACUGGUAGACGCGCAAGACUAAGGAUCUUGUGGGCAUAGCCUGUGGGAGUUCGAGUCUCCCCCUCCGCA
rfam:Dethiosulfovibrio salsuginis strain TSBA 82 genome assembly, contig: Ga0105850_144